GUAAGAUGAUGGGACUUGCAUAUUGUAAGACAUGGGAGUAAUCCCAGUAAUUCAGAUGAAAAAACACUAAUCUGAGUUAAUGAUGACUGAGACAUAAUGAACUCAUGUAGAGCAUCCCCUACUCUUCAGCUGGGCUAAAUUGCUAAUAGGGACGUUAAUUGGAUGAGGGCUCUUAUGAGCUGCAGCUGAAGUUGGACCCAUCAGUGCCUUUAUCUGACAAACCAACCGGCUCAGCUCUGCCACGUCAGCAUACAUGUGAAGUCUUCUCUUUCCGUCUAGUCGGUAAGCCUAUUCCACCAAGUCUAGAUGGAUUUUCCAGCUGCCUUGUGAUUUGAUUAACCCAAGUUAAUUCUCAUCAGAUGAUUUGAAACAGUCUGGUCCAACUUCUUCAGAUACCUUGGUAGUUGCAAACUGAUCUCUACCUACUCAGAACUACCCAGGAUCACUUCCUAUAAUUCAGAUCAUCUGUGUUGCCUUUGGGGUCUGAUUCAAAUUCUGCUAAACCAGCAUAACAACCCCCCCUUGAUCUAACAGGCUUUGGACCAGCCUCCCAUCUCUUUGAGACAGCAGGUCAUAUAUCUGACUAAAGGUAAGGAUUUUGGCCAAAUGCCUAUGAAGUGCGCUGUAAUACAAGCCAGCAAUAAUCAGAAGACAAAUUUUGUAUAUGUGCAAAGUGUUAGUGCCCUUAAUGAUAAAAUGUCCAAAAUUCUUGGAUCAGGCUUGAAAACAGUGGGCUUGAGCUACUUUUCACAUGGGAAUACCUUGCAGGCAGUAAAGAGCAGAUGGAAAAGAUCAGCAUAAAGGAAAUGAAGUGCUCCUCAUGCUACGGAGCCCAAGAUCUGUGGAUGCAGUCUACUGCCACUUUGUUAUUAACUGUUUGCACCUAAACAGGCAUCCUCACAACAAAGGGAAAACCUUCCCUAUGGGAAGAGGCCAUGCUGAGUAGGCUGUGUUCAGUUGUCAACUAAACAAGUGAACCCACCUUAGGGAUUAUCUGUGAACAUCUGCUGGUUCCCCCUCAGGAGGUUGUUCUCCCACUGAUUUCAGCAAGGGCCAAGUCGAACUGAGGACCUUAGGCAGGGAUGAGGCUCCUUUGCUCCCAACUCAUCCAAGGAGGUUCAGAUUCUUCUCAGACAGAGCGGUGAUGCUCUGGAAGAGGCUGCCCAGGAGGGGUGGGACCACCGUCCCUGGAGGUGUUCCAGUACUGUGAAUAUGUGGCACUGAGGGACGUGGCCAGUGGGCAUGGUGGGAUGGGGUUGUGCUUGGUGAUCUUGGAGGCCUUUUCCAGCAUGAAUGAUUCCAUGGUUCUACGAUCUCCUUCAUCUAUGCAGAUUAGUACAGCACCCAGCGUUGACCCAAGAAGGUGUACCCAGAACCACAUCUCAGCUCUGGGCAGUUCUGACCAUCUUCAGAUACCAAAGAGCCUCAGAAAUAACAACAUACCAGAAAGUCCUCGGCACAUGGAUUUUGGGGCAUAAAGAGAAUGUAAGAUCUGCCAUCUAAAUAAAAGUCUCCCCCAGCCGUACCACACUAUGAGGAUUUCAGCCAGAUGCUGCUGCUUCUUGGACUGUGGGGCUGGAACUGCAAAGUAGUUGAAUCAAGAGAGUGGCCAUACAGAAGGAAGUUGUGGAGGAAUAUGGAAAAGAUCUGUCUGCAUCACAGCACUCGGUUCAUCUCCUUGGCAGGGGCCUUUCUAUCAGCAGCAGCGCCUAAUCAUUAAACAGAUGGGCUGAAAAACCACUUUGCAAUAUAGAUGGGCUGAGAAGAGAAGCAUAGUUUUAAAUCCACGUAUAGGCUGUUCAUUGACAGAGUUUUUCCAGAGGGCUGUCUUUCCUGGGGUCCAGCUGACCACAUGGCACAAAGAGGUCCGUCCAAUAACAGUGGGAUCCCUGCCCAUGCCUGAUGUGCACAUCUCCUGAAAAGCUUAAGCAGGCAUCACGAGAUGCUCCUCCCCAACUGAAGGUGGCAGUGAGGGACGUCUGCCUUUCUCAUGGUGUCACACAGUGAGGUUGGGACACUUUGCCAAUGCAAGUGCAUCUACACCAGGGUGUUUUUGCCCACUGAGUAGCCCACUGGCUACGGUUUCAAUUUUUUCAUGCAUCCAACUGGCAGAGGAAAAAAAAAAAACAGAAGUCUAUCUAGUGCCCAACAUCACACUUGCUGAAUUUUUCUUUCUUUUCCCUAUCAGAUCCUUGUUUCACUGUUUUAUUUAUAGUACGUUCCAGGCCACGAUCAAGUGCUCUGUUUUGUAAGAUGUGGGCAAAAAGACAACAAAAACCCCUUCGGGAACCUGAAGCAAAGCUGUCCCUGCUUACUGUGGAAAGACAAGGCCCAAGAGGAUGUGGUGACUGAAGGUCUUGACAGCAAAAUAUCCCUGAACUCCUGCACCUACAAAGCCCUUUUCCUUGGAGCGGUCCUGGAGCAUUCUCAUCUCCCAGGAAUGCAACGCCCUUCUUAGAAGCACAAGAUGGAUAAGCCAUUGGGAGCACGCUGCUUGGGAGAACACUGAGACUGGGGAGUUCUCAAUGGGAUCGGGAGAGCCAUAGUUUCACAAAGAGGUUAUUCACCCAUUUGUUGUGGUUAUUGAUUUCUUAAAAAUCAGGGUCUAUUUUUUAUCCUGGUCCUCCAGCUUCCCAGCUGUGUUUCAGCUCGGUGUUCUUUCUGAUCAUCCAGUCACCUCCACGUGCUCCUGCAGGAACGGCCGUGCAGGACAUGCAGGACUGCGCUAGUCCUUCACUUGCUGCAUCUCACCUCUAG
ensembl:lncRNA